rnacentral:rRNA from 1 species
GAUGAACGCUAGCGGCAGGCCUAACACAUGCAAGUCGAGGGGCAUCAUGGCGUAGCAAUACGCUGAUGGCGACCGGCGCACGGGUGCGUAACGCGUAUGGAACCUACCCACCGCAGGGGGAUAACCCGCCGAAAGGCGGACUAAUACCCCAUGGUUCCCCGACCCUGCCUGGGGUUGGGGGUAAAGCCUACGGGCGGCGGUGGAUGGCCCUGCGUGCCAUUAGCUGGCUGGUGGGGUAACGGCCCACCAAGGCGAUGACGGUUAGGGGACCUGAGAGGGUGGCCCCCCACAAUGGAACUGAAACACGAUCCAUACACCUACGGGUGGCAGCAGUAGGGAAUAUUAGUUAAUGUGCGAAAGCGCGAACUAGCAACGCCGCGUGUGCGAUGAAGGCCUUCGGGUUGUAAAGACACUUUUCCAGGGGACGAGGAAGGACGGUACCCGUGGGAAUAAGCAUCGGCUAACUACGUG